ACAAGUUAUGUGCUGUGUAACUGCUUUAAAGAAAUAGAAAAUUGUUUGUUUGUUUUUCAAAUCUGUACAGAGAAACUAGAAUUUGAAUGGAAAAACCAUUGAUAGCAAUUCAUCAUAAAACUGAGAGUAGUGCCCAAACACAGCAGAGUUGUUCUCACUCUCUAAACAAGAAGUUUACUAGCCCACAGAAACCACUGAAGAUAAGCUUCUAACCAGCAACCCAGGAUGUUCUCUGCACUAGUCUACAAUGGUGCAGAUCAAUGCAGAACUAAGCCUGUUCAGCUAAGGCCAGUGCGAGUGGGCACUUGUGAAGAGGAUGGGAAUUGGCCUAUCAGAAAGGGUGCAAACAAAGACCUUGGUAAGAGCUUUCUCCAGCAAACAAGGUCAGUUUGCCUGUGGUAG
rnacentral:lncRNA from 1 species